UGUCCUUUGGUUCCCCAAGAACUUCUCUAGCUACUCUCCUAAUAUAGUCAGUCAUCUGAUCCCAUGUUCUAGUUGGUUCGGUUUUUAACUUCUAAUUUUCCUCUUUUGACAAUUUAUUCCUGAAAUAUGCAACAUUUUCACCAUUUUAGAAUGCACCAUCAAAUCACCGAGCAUUAAUUAAUUUAAUCCAUUUCUUCUUGCACUAGAUAUAUAGAUCUAAAACCAUUAGCCUUUGUUGUGUGGUCAAGUUUUCCCUUGGUAUCAAAUUACAACCUUGCUUGUUGAUCGUUCUCCAUUUUGUAUAACAAGGUAAUCUAUUUAUAACAAAUUUAUCCACUCUAAAGGGUACUAAAUGUUCAUCUUUCUUCUUAAAAAAUUCUUUUUGCAAUUGUUAAAUCCUGUAUACUGCAAACUCAAGAAUGGAAUCUUCCACAAAAUUCCUAUCACUAAAAUCAUAUCCACCACGUACCCUCCCAUACUCCAUGUUACUCUUCCUUGAAUGCCCAUUUGGGAAACAACCUUUAAUUACCCAUUUCCCUUUAGAAUAUAUUUAUAUUCAUCCAUCAACCACCUCCCAAAACUAUCUCUCCCUAUUGAUAAAGCCUACUUGCAAUGUGCAAAUGCUAACUACAUUAAUAAUCUCCUUGUCUAGCACUACCUUGAUCUCUCUUAGUAAUAUCACUUUUCCUUUCACAUAACAAUUUUAUCCUUCAUUUCUUUAUCCACUACUAUUCCAACUCCAUUACUGUUAUUAUCAUUCCAUAAAUAUAAAAGUUUGUAAUUACCAUUAAUAUCUUAGACUUUCUUUCCAUUAAGUUUCUUGAGCGUAAGCAAUAUUGAGUCUCCCUUGUAUCAUUGUAACCACUAGCUCUACACUCUUUAUAAUCAAAGUUCCAAAAGGACCUCAAUUCAAUUGUGUACCAUUUUGUCACAUUACUUUUAGGGUAAUAACCCAGCUAGUCAUUACUCAAUUCUCUCCAAAACGAGCUCAUAUUGUGCUGCACUGCUUAAGGUUAAUAACCCCGCCAACUAUGCCCACAUUAGGUAGUGGCACAUUGCACAUGACAAGGAGCCUCAAAUUUGGAUUCAGUUAAAGCUGACAUAUUUUCUAUAACUAGCUAACAACCUAACAUCAACCCUCUACCAUUUCAUCUAAGCUUGCGACUAUCUUACUUUUGACAUCAAUACCAAACAAUUUAUUAGGAAGGGGGUUGCCAGAGAGGCUAGUCAUGAAGUAUAAGAUGCAAUUUAAUAG
rnacentral:lncRNA from 1 species